rnacentral:lncRNA from 1 species
AAAGGAGGGCACUACUACUCAUGCCAGGGGGAACUUGGUCAAUGGCACAAGGGAGAUGGGUGGCACCUGAUGAAGGCUUGGAAUAAGCAACUAUUUGCCAGUGUCUGCUUUCAUUACCAUUCCAAUCCAGAGCUAGAAGUGAAAUUCUGAAGAUGAAUGGAGAUGCAGCCUGGAGCCUAGUUUAUCAGCAAAAAGGAACAGCAAGCCCUAAGGAAAGGACGUGUAAUUUUGCUUGUCUCUUUAUUUUGCAC